GCGCACACACGCACGCGCGCACACACACACACACACACAGGGAGAUUGGAGAGAGAGAGGAGAGAGAUAUGUUUUCAUCUAUCCUUUGUGGACUUCUGUUGUUUUUACUGCUGUGAAAUUUGACUUGGGAAAGCAAUGAAGAGAAAAGCUGAAGUCAUAGUGAUUAGAAGUGUCUGUGUAAGUAAAAGCAACAGGCAAUCACUGAGUGUGGUGUGAGAGGCACAGAAAGAUUGGGAAUUCAGCAGGAAGAGGAAUUGAAGUCAAACCUCACCUACUUCCCAGAGUCUUCCGGAGUUUCUGAAUCGUCAGAAGCUUCAGUAUCUGAGAUAUUCCUAUGCAUUCUACUGCUUUAAUCCUACCUAAGUAGAGAUGUCCACAACAGAGAGAAUGGAGCUGUCACAUCAUUUCAACUGCCCAGUUUGUUCCUACUGGCUGAAUGGGAUUGUCACCUUCACACCUGCCAGAGGCUUGGAGCAUGCAACAGUUUUAUUAAGUGGCUUCACCUUUCUUACGAAAAUGCAACCACUAGUAGUCUUCCAAUAAAAGCUUUUCUCAACUGAAAGGACUCAGGCAACAAAUAAACAGCUAAGAUUUUACUAGAGUACCAAAAGGAAAGCACUGGAGUGCAGUGUGGGGGAUGGAGAUGCAGCUGUGGUGGCUGGAAGUGCAGGAGGGAAGCUGGAGGCACCCGGCCUCUGAAGCCUGUCUUCUUCACCUGGGUGAGAUCUGCUGGAGUCAGGAAGGACUUCCUGCUGCAAGGAAAAGGUGAGCAGAAGAUCCCCACCAGUGCCCAUUGCCAUCACAAACACCUACAGUCCUUAUAGCAGGUGAAUCCAGCAGUCCUCACAAGUCAUGAGACAGGUUUGGAGUCUUGCUGGGAAUUCACACAGCUGCAUUGUCCCAGAUUAGGAGAACAAGGUGUGGACCCCCAACCCUCUAUUCAUCCCUUGUGAGCCAUGGUGCUAUAGCAUGGCACCAUCCUGAGACCAGAGCCACUUCUGCAGUGUGCCCUGCUCUGAGGGCCAGUAGCCACUGCACCUCUCCAGCACUUGGGCUCCAUCUUCAUUCCACCAAGCCCAUAUAGGAAGCUGAACACCUCAAUCCCAGGUUAGUAAAGCAUGGGCCCAGGAUAGGCUGUGGCUCUGGUCCUGUUCUGUUCAGGGCGAAUCUGCCCUUGAGCUGGCCAAACUGCUGCAUAGCCUCCCCAAAGCAGGCUGGGCCCCCAAGCCUGUGAGCAGCUGAUAUGCUCCAGGGCCAGUGAAGUGGCUAUGUGCUUGCACACAGGAACUGAGAAACAGUCUCACAGCACACCUGCACCCUCCAGAGAGAGCCCUGGCCUGCCCCAGUGGCCCUGUAUCCCCAAUCAGGGCCUGACAAACAAUUCCUCAGGCCGCUCUUGGCAGGUAUGAUACUAAGCUGACCAAAUAGCCAAAAGCACAUAUCCCAGACCUGAGUAUCAGCCCUGCGGGCCAAUCCAGGUGGACAUGCCCCAGGCUGGCCAAGCAGCCGUGUACCCACAUUCUGGGCCUGAGAAACAGUUUUUUGGGCUGCUGCUGGUGGGGACACCCCUGAGCCAACCAAGCAUCCUUGCAAUUGUGUUUCAGACCUAAAAAGCAUCAUGACCCAAGAAACAGUUUCACAGGCUGCUCUUGGCAGGUAUGAUCCCAGGCUGGCCAUAUAGCCAAAAGCCCACAUCCUACAUCUGAGUGACAGCCCAGGCUGACAUGACCCCAGGGCAGACAUGACCCCAGGCUGGCUGCCUAUUAAGUAAUUUCUUAUCCUUUGCCUCCUCACAAAUGAAAUGCUAUCAUUUGUGAAAAUAUGAAUAGAAUUGGAGGAUAUUAUGUUAAGUGAAAUAAACCAUGAACAGAAAGUUAAAUACUACAUGUUCUCAUUCAUAUUUGGAAGCUAAAAAAAAGUUGAACUCACAGAGGUAGAAUAGAACAGAGGAUACCUGAUGCUGGGAAGACUUGGGGGAAGGGAAGGAUAGGAAGGGAUUUGUUAAAGAAUAUAAAAGUUAAACUGGAUGAAAGGAAGUUCUUGUGUUCUCUACCACUGUAGGAUGACCAUAGUUAACAAUAAUAUAUCAUGUAGUUUAAAUAGCUAGAAGGAGGAUAUUGAAUGUUCCUAACACAAAGAAAUGAUAAAAAUUUGAGAUGGUGGGUAUGCUAAUUAUGCUGAUCUGAUCACUAUCUAUUAUAUUUAUCAACACCUCAUUAUACAUCCUAAGAAUAUGUACAAUAACUAUUUGUCGAUCUAAAAAAUUAGAUAAAAAUUGUUUUGUCUAUUCUGGGUACUUUACAUGUUCAUACAUAUUUUUGAGUCAGCUUGUCAAUUUCUACAAGAAAAGCCUGUUGGGAUUUCGAUUGAGAUUAUGCUGAAUUUAUAAUUUGUGAAUAAUUGAUUUCUUUACAAUAUUGGAUCUUCCAAUACGUGAACAUAGUAUAUGUCUCCAUUUGUUUAGGUGUUCUUUAAUUUUUUUAAACAAUGUUUUGAAAUUUCCAAGAUUUUUCACUUAUUUAAUUAAAUUGAUCCCUAAAUA